AGCAGUAGCCGCGGUAAUACGAAGGGUGCAAGCGUUAAUCGGAAUUACUGGGCGUAAAGCGUGCGUAGGCGGUGAGUUAAGUCUGCUGUGAAAUCCCCGGGCUCAACCUGGGAAUGGCAGUGGAUACUGGCUCGCUAGAGUGUGUCAGAGGAUGGUGGAAUUCCCGGUGUAGCGGUGAAAUGCGUAGAGAUCGGGAGGAACAUCAGUGGCGAAGGCGGCCAUCUGGGACAACACUGACGCUGAGGCACGAAAGCGUGGGGAGCAAACAGGAUUAGAUACCCCCGUAUCCCUGUCUCUUAUACA
rnacentral:rRNA from 1 species